GUACCCAGCUUCCUGAUCUGUGAAACAGAGAGAAGAAGCCAAAUGAAGCCCACAUAAUCCAAAGGGAAAUGUUCAGAGACCCACUAUAUCACUUAGACAUGCUCAAAUGUUUGGGCCUGGAUAGGACCCACUCAAGGGUCCUAGCUGUGCUGGUGGAAGUGCUCACUGAGCCACUUUCCAUCAUUUAUCAGUAGUCCUGGCUAACUGGGGAAGUGUCAGUUUGCUGGAGUUUGGGAUAUAUCAUGCCCAUCUACAAGGAGGGUCAGAAGGAGGAUCUAGGAAACUACAGGCCUGACUGGUGUCCAGGAAGGUCAUGGAGCAGAUGAGCCUGCACCACCACAUGGCACAUACAGGAGGACCAGGGGGUGAGGCCCAGCCAUUACGGGUCUGGUUUGUGAAAAACAGAUCCUACUUGAUCUCCUUCUAUUAUAGGAUCACCCACUUUGCGGAUGACAGAAAGAGUGUGGACGUUGCCCAACUGGACUUUAGUAAAGCUUUUGACACACCUCUCAAAGCUUUGCCCUGGAGAAAUUGGCAGCCUAUGACUUGAACAGUUGCACUGUUCACUGGGUAAAAGAAAAUGUCAGGCUAGCUGGGCCCAGAAAGUAGCUAAUGGAGUUACCAGGUAAUGGAGUUACCUCCAGCUGGUGGCUGGUCGCCUGUGCUAUUCCAUAGGGCUCACUACUGGUGCCCGUCUUGUUCAAUGCCCUCACUGAUGACCUGGACAAGGAAUCGAGUGCACCCUCAGUCAGUUUGCAGAAGGAAAGAGAAGGGAAGAGAAGGUUUAGGGAAGACCCCCUUCUCUCUGAGAACCUUGCAUCAACUUUUACCCACAUCUGAAGCUGCGAGGACUGAAGCAAAGCAAUUUGUGAAGCUCAGACCUUGCCAACUUCUUACUUGGCUUCACUGAGAAGUGUAUAUCGCUUUUGGCAUAGCUUAUCAGCUUUGAAGCCAGUCACCUGCAGAACUAUUCAUUAGCUCACAGUGUAAAAACACUGAUAGUCUUGGGAAGGACACAGCUGGAUGCUGGAGAGGAAUCAGAGGCAGAAGAUUACAACAUUUUGAGAGUGAGAGAAUACAAGGUUCUUCAUGAAAAAGCAGUGGAACAAGUGGCUAUGAGGAAGUAAAAGAUAAAUACAACAUGAUACUAAAUACUGAUGACAUAAAAUUAUAAAAGCUAGAUGUUGGUCUAGAUCUGAAGUUCCUGAAGGAACUGCUUGUGUAAGCCAACAAUCUUGUCCUGUUUCCACAGUCUUCAUCUCUGUUGGAACGUUUUUGCAGUUGUUAUGUAUACAUAUUGUGCCUGCACACCCUUCAUGUCAGAGCCUCUAAGAGGUGCAUAUGCAACUCUUAAGUGGUUUUGCCACUAGACACAGAAUACAAAACUGCUGGUAAAAGUCAGGGUGUGUGGACUAACUCAGGCAACCCCUUGCAAGUUACAAGAAUCUACAUUCACAGUUUUGGAUUUUGCUAACUUUUGAUUCCCCACUGAAAACUGAAGAAUUUGAGAAAAUAUCUGAAUUAUAAAUUUUGUUCUACCAUAGUGACACCAGCACUCUGUGCUAGAACACAAUAAUAUAGAAGGACUAUUAUAGGAAGGUUUAGAGAUUGUCUAAGGAACGAUGAAGAAAACUGUCUGAAGUCUUCAUUUCAAAGAGCUCCGCUCACAUCAGCUGCAGGAGGCAAGGCAGGGGAACUGGAAGAAUGACAAAAUUCCACUGCAGGAGAAGAUCAGGCUCAAGAUCAUCUAAGUAGCCUGAAGGUGCACAGGCUAAUGGGACCUGAUAAGAUACGUUGGUGGGUUCUGAUGGAAUUGCAAGACAAUGUUUCUAAGCCACUAUCAUCCAUAUCUGAGAAAUUCUGGCAAUUUUGUGAGGUGCCCAUUGACUGGAAAAGGGGAAACAUCAUCAAGAUGGGAUUUUCCUCAUUUUGAGGAUCUGACAAACCAAUUUCUAGAAACCUCAUGGCUUUCACAUUGCUGCCUUGAUAUAAUCUGAAAAGGAUUAUUCAGGGGAAAAAUCCAAUCUUUGAAGAAAACAGCAAAUAUGAACCAGCCAUGAACCUCUCUCUGCAGUAAUUGCUAUGAGGAACAACUCUGCAGCUCAUGCUGUCUUUUUUGUUGUUGUUUGAUUGGUUCGGGGCCUGUUUUGUUUUGGACACUCCAUUUAAAAUAUAGUUUUUUAAAUGGUGACAAAUUACCUAUGAUCUGUUCAUAUAGCUCUCAAAGAUGAGGUAGGGGGACUUUGAACAGAGUGGGGAAAGUGUAGGAUAAAAAUAUGAAGGACCUGCUCCUUCAAGGAUCAUUAAUCAUAAGCUGGGUACACAAGAGAAUGCAGUCGCCGAUCAAGGACAUAUAUCUAUAUCAUAAGGAAACUGCAGGCACUGACUCUUACUGCAAAAGCUGCUGGACAGGUGUGGAGGAAAUGGUGCAGGCAAGUUUCUCAAGAGGCAUAAUAAAUACAUAUUUUGCAGUAUAUCCCAAAAGGGACAAUUUCAGUUAAAGCCAUUUUAGGUCUGCAAAAAAACAAACCUUUAUAGCAUAAGGGUCCAAACCUGCCCCAGGGAAUUGGCCAGGCUAAGCAGUAAUACAACAAGCUUCUCGACUUUGCAGGAUCAUGGAAGAGUGAAAGUGGCAUGCAACAUGAUUUGUACUGUUUGUGCAUGGAGUGAAAAAGCAUAGCUCGUGGAACUGAUGGUGAUUUAUGAUAAGGGAUUUGUUAAAUUUUGUUUUUCUAUGGGAUUUUGGAGUUUUCAGGAAGUAGGAUAUUGCCAUUUCUCCUUGUUGUCUUAUAAAGUCAUAUCUGAAGGUCUGGUGUCAGACUAAGAGAUUCUUCUAACUAGAUGACUCCUCACAUUUUUCUCUCUCCUCUUGUCCUUCCAUUCCUUUUCCUAAAUCAGUUCGAAACUACUGAGUACUAUGGUAAUUUCUUUUUUGUAUUCAUGUUGAGCCCUAGCCUACUUCAGACCAGUUCAAAGGAUUUCUCAAAACACAAAUAUCACACAACUGCACUGCUGAAUCAUGACUACAUAACAUAAAGGCAAAAAACCAUUAAAGAAAUGGAGUUCAUGUGUGUGACU